UAGCAGUAUCUUUAAGUCCGUAAUUAUUCGCGUGCUUAUUAGCAUUAAACUUAUCACAAUUAGAAUUAAAUAAUUCUAAUUUGUCGAGUACAGGUUAUCUUUAAGUCCGUAAUUAUAUUCGCGUGCUUAUUAGCAUUAAACUUAUCGCAAUUAGAAUCAAAUAAUUCUAAUUUGUCGAGUAUAGGUUAGAUUACGAAUUCGAUAGAAAGUGGUGUUAUUAUAACCCGUGCGAUAUCUAAGACAAUCAGCGGAGUGGGGGUUGAGGGGAAUUAUGGCAGAUCGGGAUCUCGCACUGUCAGUCGGUUAUGGGCUCUAGUUACGGAAAGUUAUUGUGACAUUAAUGUAACCACCGUUGGUCAUCGUGCUUGGGAGUCAAAUUUUAAAGGUUACGGUGAUUGGUUUCGAUCUAAUUCACUCUUCUGAGUUAACUUGGAUCGCGGAAACUUACUCGCAGCGAAGAACCGGGGGAACAUGGGUAAUGAGAAAUAACAGUAUUCAGACGAUCUGAGAACGGGACAUAAAUGAAACACUGCAAGGUUUUAGGUUAUAACUGGAGAGAGCGAAACAGAGCUAAUGAAAGAGAAGAAUAUGUAUAAGGGAAUUAUAAACCAAGUACAAACAAAGAUUGUAUAAUAGACAAAAGUGGACGAGACGGGAGUGGAAACUGUUGUGCGCUGCACGGGAACGGCGUGGAUGACGCAAUGUAAAAUUGCAACGCGGGGGUGGCACAGGCUUGAAAAAGCGCAAGCCCAAAGGUCGAAACAGUCUCGGAUCGCCCCGUGUCGCGCGUUUCCAUGAAUUUCGCCGGGAAAAUAAUUUCUGACGGAGCGGAACGAUUUCCGUUCAUUUCGAAAAGUGAAUCGAGGAAUAUUGAAAAAUGAUUAUCUCUCGUCCGGGGGUAGGAAAAGCCUCGAUGAAAAUUCGUUCGGCGACGCGAUGAGGGUGGAUGGAGGACAGCGUCGACGACGACGGGAGAGCAGCGGCGGGGUUGUUAAAAUAUUGUGAUAAAUAAAACGCGCUGACAAAGAAGAGGCGAGGUGCGCGCACCGGCACGCGUGGCGCACAGAUCGAACGUAUCUGUGCCAAUUCGAAAGGAGCAUAAAUCCAACAGAACUAUUCCGGAGGACUCCGAUAUACAUAUAGCAAAUUUUAAUCCCUCGGACGCGCUUUCACCCUUUCGUGCCCGUCCGUUUUCGUCACGAACGCAUUAAAUCCGUCCAUUGAUCACGCCUCCACUCUAAUUUCGCCGGGCGAAAAGAUCCUAACAAAUUGUUCUGCCGCGCGCAGGAGCCGUUUAAACACAAGCGGAAAUUCGCAUAGAGACCCGCGGAGUCCGCGGACAACGGCUGCUGAACAAGAUACAAUUUCGCGUGGAAGGAAGAAAAAAAAAAGAAAGGAAACCGGCUGGAACCACCGGGGACGAUAAAACGGGGAAAAAUGGGCGAUGUGGCGGCGGAGGGUGGAAAAUGAAGAAAGAGGAAGAGGGCGACGGAAGAAACGUAGGCUGGAGAGGAGGGAAAAAGAGAAGAGACGAAGUCGCGCACACGUUUCUCCUGACGCCGUUCCAGCCGGAAGUCGUGCUGGAGGGGGAGCUCUAGAAUCGAUAACCGCCCCUCUGCCACGUCGAAAGGGGUCGCCGCCACCCUCCUUUUAAAAGGGAGAGGCGAAGGGAGCCAGAGAGAGAUAGAGAUAGAGAGAGAGAGAGAGAGAGAGAGAGAGAGAGAGAGAGAGAGGGAGAGACGAGAUUCGAACACCAGGUCGAUCCCCGAAGGGGAAAACUGGCUGGCUGAACGAUGACGCCGGCGAUGACGAUCAUUCUCACACUGCUCUGAUCAUUUUAAAAGCCUAGAGGCACUAGAGAAACUUCAAACGCCAUUUUUCUGAUCCGCUCGAUUUUUAUUCCUGCUCGCGGAAAAUUCGUCGGAGCUUUUCCUCUUUCUCUUUUUUCCUCUCUCUCUUUUUUUCCUCUUUCUCUCUUUUUUCUCUUUCUUUUGUUUUCUCUUUAUAAAAAUUACUUCACACUGCCUGGCCAUUCAAAUGACAAUAAUUUGCGAUUUUUAAGCACCAUGGCAUUGGCUUAGUGUUAGAGAAAUAAUAGAUUUCUAAAAUAGUAAAUAGACUGUAAAUAUUUUUAUCUUCUCGUACGAUGCAGAAUUUGGCAAAUCAACUUUUCUUCCAUAAAUAGUAGUUAUGCAUUGAAAUAGCAUUUCAAGUAUAUUGUUUAAUAGCACAGCUCAUAUAAAUACUAUUCUGAAAUAAGUAUUUCAUUAAAACAUAAGAAAAUAAUAUUUCAUCAAAUAGUCGUAUUACAGUAUAUUACUAAAUAGUAAUUUCACAGAAUAGUAUUUAAAACAAUAGUAUUCUAAGUAAUAGUAUUGCAAAUAAAAGGCUUUUAUCCUUUAAUUUCCAAACAGUAUUUCAUUCGAACACUAAAUGAAAUAGUAUUUCUAAAUAAGAUUUACUCAUGCAAAUAUUUCAAUGUUUGUCACUUCAAUUAUUUCAAAAUUCUUUCAAAUUUUCGCCAGCCCUUAUAUUAACACAUUGCAGUCAAGUGGUGACUCUGAGGCAAGGCAUCGCUAAAACUUAUCGUAUCAAAUUUCAAAAUAAUGCCAAUGUUAUCCAGUUUGUUUACAUCUAAAAAAAACAGAUUUUUUAAAUCAUAUAU